rnacentral:rRNA from 1 species
AGACUAGGAGAUUGAUAGGUUGGGGGUGUAAGAGCAGUGAUGUUUUUAGCUGACCAAUACUAAUAAGUCGAAGUUUUAACCUA